GGCUUCUUUGCUGACGAGUGGCGGACGGGUGAGUAAUGUCUGGGAAACUGCCUGAUGGAGGGGGAUAACUACUGGAAACGGUAGCUAAUACCGCAUAACGUCGCAAGACCAAAGAGGGGGACCUUCGGGCCUCUUGCCAUCGGAUGUGCCCAGAUGGGAUUAGCUAGUAGGUGGGGUAAAGGCUCACCUAGGCGACGAUCCCUAGCUGGUCUGAGAGGAUGACCAGCCACACUGGAACUGAGACACGGUCCAGACUCCUACGGGAGGCAGCAGUGGGGAAUAUUGCACAAUGGGCGCAAGCCUGAUGCAGCCAUGCCGCGUGUAUGAAGAAGGCCUUCGGGUUGUAAAGUACUUUCAGCGGGGAGGAAGGGAGUAAAGUUAAUACCUUUGCUCAUUGACGUUACCCGCAGAAGAAGCACCGGCUAACUCCGUGCCAGCAGCCGCGGUAAUACGGAGGGUGCAAGCGUUAAUCGGAAUUACUGGGCGUAAAGCGCACGCAGGCGGUUUGUUAAGUCAGAUGU
rnacentral:rRNA from 1 species